AGCUCCACCCUGUACAGAAUCUUGCCUGUUACUAAAAUGUCAAUUGUCAAAUAUCAAAAAUUAAUUGCUAGGUUAGAUAAAUUGCCCUACUAUUAAUAAUAAAUAAAUUAUUAACAAAAAAUAAAGGAUAUCUCUUAUACCAUCUCCAAAUUUUCCUUCUGUCAGCUGUGGUCUCUUACAUAACAACAAUACUCCAGGCGAAUGAUUUGGAGAGUAUUUAAGCAGUAUUCCGUUGUAAUCCUUCUUCCUACUGUUGUAGCCACCUCAAUUUACGCAGAUUAUACGCAUACGCAA